GACAGAGGGUGCAAACGUUGUUCGGAAUUACUGGGCGUAAAGCGCGUGUAGGCGGUCUCGCAAGUCGGGUGUGAAAGCCCAGGGCUCAACCCUGGAAGUGCAUUCGAUACUGCGAGGCUAGAAUCCCGGAGAGGAUGGUGGAACUCUCGGUGUAGAGGUGAAAUUCGUAGAUAUCGAGAAGAACACCGGUGGCGAAGGCGGCCAUCUGGACGGUGACUGACGCUGAGACGCGAAAGCGUGGGGAGCAAACAGG
rnacentral:rRNA from 1 species